AGCGAACGCUGGCGGCAGGCUUAACACAUGCAAGUCGAACGGUCCUUCGGGAUAGUGGCGGACGGGUGAGUAACACGUGGGAACGUACCCUUAGGUUCGGAACAACACAGGGAAACUUGUGCUAAUACCGGAUAAGCCCUUCGGGGGAAAGAUUUAUCGCCUUUGGAGCGGCUCGCGUCUGAUUAGCUUGGUGGUGAGGUAAUGGCGCACCAAGGCUACGAUCAGUAGCUGGUCUGAGAGGAUGGCCAGCCACACUGGGACUGAGACACGGCCCAGACUCCUACGGGAGGCAGCAGUGGGGAAUCUUGCGCAAUGGGCGAAAGCCUGACGCAGCCAUGCCGCGUGGAUGAUGAAGGUCUUAGGAUUGUAAAAUCCUUUCACCGGGGACGAUAAUGACGGUACCCGGAGAAGAAGCCCCGGCUAACUUCGUGCCAGCAGCCGCCGUAA
rnacentral:rRNA from 1 species